GUGGAUUCUACUUCCAUCAGCAUCAAUGGAAUUGGAAUAAGGCUUUAGGGCAAGCAUUUAGCAUAGACUUAAAAUCUACAGUUUUAUUUAAGCAACUUCUCUGGGGGUAUUGACUAGUAAAUCUUUGAAAAAGCAUUUUAAAAAUGUCAGGUUUUCUUAUGUGGUGGUACUUAGCUGUUUAAGAAAUGAUUAUUUUAGUUCUGACUUGCAGGAUGAUGAAUCACUGGGUGACACACCAGCGUGCUUUUAACACUGUUGUGUUUGCAGAAGGGGAUGGCCGGGUUGAUCUAUAGAAGAGAAAGACAGGCCAGAACCUUCACUCAAGAGUAGAUCUGUGGUUCAGCAGUACUUGAGGCAGGGUUGCAGGAGGCAGCACUAGAGCUGACUCUGUUAUCUUUAUGAUAAAGGAAGAAUAAUGUGCUGCAUGGUGGAAAGAAACAAAAGCAAUGUCUGGAGGAAGAAGUAGUACCAGAAGAACGUCUGGAGCUGUAAGAGCAGAAAGAAGCUUUCCAAUAAUUAUGAAAAAGUGACAUAUACUGAAAUCAGAGACUACCAUUUUGAAGAAAGAAGCAUAUCCAACAUUCUUCUGUGUUCUUUUUAAGGCAUCAGUGAUCUCAAAAAUAAAUAAAAGGUCAUUAUCUGACAGUUUCUAAAGGCUGGAAUUUAGCAGGAUCAGACACAGUCCUGCUGGGAAGGAGGGAGAAAAAUGUCUGUCUGCAUUCUUUCAUAGCUUCAUGGGUUCAUGUUAAGUAUGACUGGUUGGCACAGGAAUUUCUACUUCCAUGACAUCACAUAUGAAUAAUUGACAUCAAAGAGUGUCACUGAAGUAUGGUGGUGUAAAGAACUAUUCAUGAAGCAUUGCAGCUUGUAUUGCACAUGAGUGCACAGCCUGGCCCACAGUAAUUAUUAUUAAAGCCUGUGAAAGCAAAGCCUGUCAUUCCGAGAUCAGGGGACAGAAAGGACAAUGUAGUAUCAGCAGAGAUCUUGGCACCCUUUGUGAGGAUGAAGAAGUGAUUUGGGAAAAAGAUAAUGACAAUACAGACCUUGAGACCUUUGCCUAUUGCAAGUUCUGCUGGCUGGUGACUGAAUUUAGCAAUCUGUUCAGUGUCCUAUGUGAAAUUUUAGCAUUUAGUCUCCACCCAACUUUUUUAGAGGCACAAAAAAUUACUACCCUAUAUCCUUGUUGGUGAUCACAGCAGGGAGGCUGAAUCAAAGAAUCACAAAAUGGAUGAGGUUGGAAGGCACCUCUGGAAGUUAUUUGGUCCUACCCCACUGUUCAGGCAGGUUCGCCUAGAAUCCAUUGCCAGGAACGUGUCCAAAUGGUUUUUAAACAUCUCCAAGUAUGGAGAUUCCACAACCUUUACAAGCAACCUUUUUUUAGUACUUGGUCACCCUACAGUAAAAAAAAGGGCUGAUAUUCUGAUAGACCCUUCUGUGUUUCAGUUUCUGCCUACUGCCUCUGUUCCUGUCACCAGGUACCACUGAAAACAGCCUGCCUCUGUCAUUCUUUCACCCUCAUUUUGGGUAUUUUCAGACACUGAUAGAUGGAUUGUAGACAUUUGUAGCCUUUGAGCCUUCUGUUCUCCAA